AUGGGAGUCCUUGCUGUGUUAUGGCUCGACCGUGCAGCCCUGCGUCCUCGAGCAGGAGCAACUGAUUCCCAAGCUGCCGGUGCUUUGUUCGACAAGGAGCAUGUCGCCGUCACCUUGGGUGCAGCCGUCCGGUGGAAGGCGCUCUGCCUUUUUCAGAAGGCGAGGAGGAUCGGCGGAUCCAGCCCCCCUCCUCUCCAGCAGCUCGGCGGAGACAAAAGAGGAGGUCACCGGGAGAUGACGAAAGAUCAAAGGAGGAUGAUUUGCAAGGUCGAUCGACAUAUGCGACAAAGAUCCUGUUGUGCACAAGCAUACUCCAUACAUUGUUAUCCUCGUGAGGCUUGCAGGAAAAAUGGGUCGAUGCACGUGAUGGUCAGUGACCUUCGGCCAGGCAAGAGAAAAGGGAAUUUAAGGACCUAA
rnacentral:rRNA from 1 species